rnacentral:rRNA from 1 species
AGUAACUAGAUUUCACUAGAAUUAAUGUACACGAAAGUGCGCGAGCUAAACAAAAUAAGAUUAUAGUCUGUUUGUAUGUAGUAUAAUACUUUCAUUUAGUUUUGGUUAGGGGUGAUAGGCUUUACAAGCGUACUGAUAUCUUGAUGCGUGAGAAACAUAUUUAGUAUAAAUGUAUACUACUAAAGUUAAGCUUGGUAGUAUUUAGAAACGUUGUUCAUAAUUUGUUUUAAGUUUAAUAACUGGAAGACUAUAUUUAUUAACAUUUAAUACUAAGUUUUCUAGACCAUAUCACGUUAUAUUUACUUACGUAGGUAUAAAUUAUGUUAGUAUGAGUAGUAAUAAGAAAUAUUCUAUCUGAACUCGGCAACACACUUUUCAACUGUUUAUCAAAAACAUAGCUACGUGAUUUCGUACGUAGUUAUUUCUGCUCCAUGGUAUACUAAAUAGCCGCAGUACUCUGACUGUGCAAAGGUAGCAUAAUCAGUUGGCUCCUAAAUAGAGUCUGGUAUGAAAGAACAUAUGGAGAGUAACUAUACUUAGGAUAUUAAGAUGAAAUUGGUUGUGAGUGCAAAUCCUCACAUAUUUACAAAAGACGAGAAGACCCUAGAAACUCGCGAUAAAAAUUUUGUUGGGGCGACAGAAUUACAAUAAACUAAUUCUAAAAUGCAAGACGCAUAACAGGUAGUUGAAGUUACUCUAGGGAUAACAGCAUAAUAUAUCUGUUUGUGACCUCGAUGUUGGACUAGGUAAAAUAUUCCUUAGAAAGGAAUACGUAUGCUCUGUUCGAGCAAGUUAACCUACAUGAUCUGAGUUCAGACCGG